rnacentral:lncRNA from 1 species
CUGACUCCUGCUCCCUGGUCAGCCCAGUGUAAGAUCUCUCACCCUGCUCUCCUUUUUCCAAAACGCGUGUCAUGACACUGAUUUAACCUGUCAUUACUGUCUCCUCCACUUCCACUCCAGCUAGAAUGCUGCAUCUCUGCACAGCUCCUGGCACGUAGCACGCUGAGUCACCUAAUACAAUUUCUAAUGCAGUUUCUCUUGUAACUAAUUUUUAAAGACUUACAGAAUUUAGAUAUUUACGUAAAGUGAGAUCUCCUAUUUUUCUUUAUGGGAGAUGUAAAUUAAUACUUUUAGAGUCAUUACCCAUAAUGAAAUUAUUACUAAAAAAAUGUUAAUGUUAAUAUUCUACCUGUUUAAUUUCAGUAAAAAUCUUCUUGAAUAAUGAACAGUUUUUCAAAAUCCGUAAUCUUAGUUACCUUAAUGAUCAUAGCCAUAAAGUGUCUAGUUGGCUUAUAAUAGGAAUACGGGGCUUUCAGAUUCUUUUAAACCAUGCCAAGUUUCUGAAGUAAUAAACUGAAUUCUUAAGUGUAACUUAUAAAAAUAAACAAUGUGUGAAAUAGGUUAUACAAUACAGAAACUUAAAUGCUGAAAUCCAAGUUAUUUUUCUACUAAUAUUUCUAAAUGACAGUAGGCAGAUUGUCAUCAUUUUAGAGCUGGGAGAGACGUUGGAGGUUACUAUUUUCAUUCACAGAUUUCAGGAACUAAAUUAUAAUAGGUAAAGUGGUGUUCCAUUCACCCAUUUACUGGCCUAGAAUCAUGUGUUUUUCAGUAGUGUAAUUUUAUUUAAGUACAGA